CACGUAGGGCGCAAGCGUUGUCCGGAAUUAUUGGGCGUAAAGAGCUCGUAGGCGGUCUGUUGCGUCCGCUGUGAAAACUCGGGGCUUAACCCCGAGCCUGCAGUGGAUACGGGCAGACUAGAGGUAGGUAGGGGAGAAUGGAAUUCCCGGUGUAGCGGUGAAAUGCGCAGAUAUCGGGAGGAACACCGGUGGCGAAGGCGGUUCUCUGGGCCUUACCUGACGCUGAGGCGCGAAAGCUAGGGGAGCGAACAGG
rnacentral:rRNA from 1 species